AUUAAACCCAGGGAUGCGGAACUCUUGAGCCACAUCCCAGCCCAUUUUAUAUUUUAUUUAGAGACAUGGUCUUGCUAAGUUGCUAGGGCCAUGCUAAGUUGCUGAGGCUGGCUUUGGCUUUGAACUCGCAAUCCUCUUGCCUCAGCCUCCCAAGCCACUGGGAUUACAGGCAUGCACCACCAAGCCCUGUAGUGUAUCUGCAAUUUCUAAGAAACAUAUUAAGAUGGCUUCUACCAUACUAAAAUAUUCAGUACUUAGGAAAACAAAACAUUUCAGUACUUAGGAACACAAAAAAGUGGGAGGUCUCUACACUGAAAACAAAAACAAAGAUGAAAGACAGAAGUUGAAGAAGAUACAAAUUCUCCAUGGCAUUAAUCUGAGCAAUGAUAUUUUGGACAUGACCCCAAAAAGAACAGGCAACAGAGGUAAAAAUAGACAAACAGGAUUUCAUCAAAGUAAAAAGCUUCUGCACAGCAAAUGAAGUUCUCAACAGAGGGAAGAGACAACCUUCAGAGUGGAAGAAAAUAUGUGCAAAGCCACACACCUGAUAAUAUCCAAAACAUACCAGGAACUCAAACUGAAGCAACAAACAAAGCACUCAAUAAAUGGAAAGUCCCUGAGUAGAUAAUUUCAAAAGAAGAAAAAAGUCAGGUGCAGUGGCAUAAUGCCUGUAAUCCCAGUGACUUGGGAGGCUGAGGCAGGAGGAGGGCAAGUUCAAAGCCAGCUUCAGCAAUUUAGGGAGGCCCUAGGUAACUUAGCAAGACCCUGUCUCAAAAUAAAUAAAACUGCUGAGGAUGUGGCUCAGUGUUUAAGUACCCCAGGUUCAAUCUCCAGAACAAGAAAAAAACAAAAGGAAGAAGAAAAAAUCUGCCCCUGGUGGCACAAGACUGUAAUUGCAGUAACUCAGAAGUUGGAGUCAGGAGAGUCAGAAGUUCAAGGGCAGCGCUAGUAACAUAAUGAGACUGUCUCAAAAUUAAAACUUAAAAAUGGCUGGGGAUGUAGCUCAUGGGUAGAGUACCUCUAGUGUCAAUCCCCAGAACCACACAAAACAAAAAGAGACAAACAAAUGGCCAACAGAUGUACAAAAAAAUGCUCAAGGUCACUAAUAAUCAGAGAAAUGCAAACUGAACCACAAUAAGAUACUAUCCUGGAGGUGGGGUUGUGGCUCAGUGGUAGAGUGUUUGCCUCGCAUGUGUGAGGCCCUGGGUUCGAUCCUCAGCACCACAUAAAAAUAAAUUGAUAAACAAG
rnacentral:lncRNA from 1 species